GUAGCAACAGUCGUCCUGGACAAUCAAAUAUGGGAAGUGAUGGGACUUAUGAAUACCUCGAACAUCGUGCAGAACCAGUUGAUCAUUGUCACCAACCAACACACAUUAGUUCUAGACUAUGUUACAGCUAAAGAUGGAGGUAUGUGCCAGGUUGUGGGACCCGCUUGU